rnacentral:tRNA from 1 species
AUCUAUCUAGUAUAAUAGUACAAUUGACUUCCAAUCAAUAAGACUGGUAUUUCCAGGAUAGAUA